GAGAAAACAGAAAGAUGAAGCCAGAGAUUUUUAAUAGAGCUUUACUUGGGAAAUGGCUUUGGAGAUUUCAAUUGGAGAGUAAAGCCCUUUGGAAAAAUGUGAUAGAAGUGAAAUAUGGAAGUUUGAGGGGACAUUGGU